UAUUAUAAUAUAUGUAAUGAGUUAGGUUUGGGUAGUAAUAGUUAUUUUCUUGAAACUCAAAGAAUUUGGCGGUGUUUUAGUCUAUUUAGAGGAAUCUGUUCUAUAAUCGAUAAUACACGAUUAUUUUAACUUAUAUUAGUUAUCAGUUUGUAUACCGCCGUCGUAAGAAUAUCUUUGAAGGGAUGAAAUUUUCUUUAUUUUAAAUUAAAACUUAAGUCAGGUCAAGGUGCAGCUUAUAUAUAAGAAGAAAUGGAUUACAAUAAAUUUAUUUAUAUGAAUAUAAUUUUUAAAAUGUUAUUGAAGGUGGAUUUAAUUGUAAAUAUUAUUAUUUAAUAAUGUUGAUUUUAGCUCUAAAAUGUGCACAUAUCGCCCGUCGCUCUCAUUAUUAAAGUGAG
rnacentral:rRNA from 1 species